UCUCCCACUUCUUAUAAAAUUCAAGAUCCUCAUCUUUUACUUCGCGCAUCCAUUCAUUCCAUGACUCAGUCAAGCCGUUACUAUUAGCUACUCCUUUAUCACUCAUCUUUUGAAAGAACAAACAUUCAGAAACUAAACUGCAGUGAUCGCAAAUUUUUCGGUUCGAAAUCAUUUCAGGAAGGCUGCGCCUAAAGUUAUGCUGUGCAAGAGAAUUUCUUGUCAUGAUCAACCCUCGAAGUUGGGAGUUACUUGCAACCAAAUUCUUGAUAGUACUAUUUUCCAAAUAGCAUAAUAAUGCCUGAUUAGUAUUGAUACCAUAACGAUCUGAAAUGAGUAAUGUAUAAAGCAAACUUUGAGCAAAAUGGCUAAUAUUGUCGACAUAUCGGCCAGUUUUAAGCUCUAACGGAAGUGUGAGGGUUGACGAAGACUCAGGUUUUUCAGUUAAAACCACCUCAACUGUAGCAUCGAUAUUACCUUUUAAUCCAAAUCUGGGUGACCAUAUGGAUUCCUCAAUAUCGAGAAGCCUUGAAAUGUGAAUACUUUCAUUGUUGUUGUCAUUUUUUUUACUUAUUAAAUAUCUUUCAACAAUAGAUUUAAGAAGGGGAAGCCUCGCAUCAAGUUCCUCUCGAAUUUCAUCGAGCGACAAAUCAGCAAAAUAGAUAUCAGAGAUGUAUGUUUUUAUUGAUGUUUCAAGGUUGAUAUCAACAUUUUCAAGGGCAUCAAUACCUCUGUAUAAUGCGUGUUGAAAAAAAUCAUGUAAAAUGUUUCCAGUUACCAUAGCUUUUGUAGGAGGUCCAUAAAUGCCAACCCUGUCAGAUAUUACGGCUUUCCUCAAACAAGGAAAAGAGCUGGCCACUGCCGUAGCAGACAUUAAAAUUUUCGGAUGUAUGAUAAUAAGUCCUUUAUCGUUGUCAACGAUAGCGGUAUUAUCUUUGUCAAAUGUAGCUUCAACACGGAUAGAAUCCCCUACAAAAAUACUAGUCUCAGUCCAAUCACCGCGUAAAAAUAACUGAUGCAGUAUAUCAUUUGCUUCCAAAAUCAACUUUAAUUGUCGAAAGUGAUUCCCUUCAUGAAAAAUGAAGUCUUCGUGAACUUCUAAUACUGUGUAUUCGGAGGAAAACUCGCACAAUUCACCAGGAGUGCAUCCAUCACACGAAUCAUCCCAAUCAUCGAUAAAGUCGCUAUUGAUAUCCGGCAAUGAAUUACAAGCUUUAUCAAGAGCAAGGUUCACAGGUUCUUCAUUUAUUGUAGCAUCAGAUGCUUUUGUUGCUGAACAAUAAGAUUGCAAAUCACCUCCCACAUGGUUGACCUUAGCUGUCUUUUCUAUGUCCUUUGCAGAAGCAGUUACUGUAGAAUUAGGUAAUUGUGAGUAUUGGCGUUCAAGGGAAUCUAAUGCUGCCAGAUCUUCAGCUUCUAAGGCAAAAUCAUCCUCGUCAAUUUCGGUAUCUGAUCCUUUGAGAAGACAACUGGAAUUUGCAGCAAUUCUUGAUUGCUCAGAUGAUCUUGCAUUACGAAUUAUAGACACCAAGCUAGGGACUUUAUGCAGGUUAUUUCCUUGGUUUUUUACUUCAUCAUACGAUCCGAAGCUUCUACUCUGGUUUUCCGAAACAUUUGAACUCGACAAAUUAUUGUUUAUCAGUGGCUUAUUAUCUGAAGCACAUCGUCGUAAUAGGACAGUUUCAUCCGUAUAUAAUGUAAACACAUCAGAUUUUGAGUUCGUUGACACUGGUUUCAUAUCUAUAAUCGUUGAGUCCGUCGUUUGAUGAUCCAGCAAAUGUUGAGUAGAAGAGCUACGACACAAAUCCUUCGAAGUUUCUUGAAAACAUACUUCUAAAAGUUAAAAUACACGUCUGAAUACAAGAAAAAUCAUACCUGGCAUGUCUUGGCUAUUCAAGUCAGAUUUCCGCGUGAAAGAUUUGUCAGGCUUUAAAUCGUCAGUAAUUUCUUUAUGAGCUUUAGUAAAUGGGGAAAAAGAUGUUGAGGAUUCAUUAAAAGUAUUCUUUCGUUUAAUUGGUAAUGAAGAAUGCUUUUUUUCAGAGAUUUUAGGUGAACUAAUUUCUGUAGAUGCAUUGUACGCAAAAUUUUCCAGCUUCAAUUUAGUUCUCCCAUUUAGCAAAUAGUUUUUCCUGAAAGGAGUUGAAUUAGUUUUUUUUAAAUUACCAUGAUUGUUGUCAGUAGUGGCACAUAUACCUUUCACAGAUGAAGUUGUUUUCGACUGGUCGUUGAACAUUAUUAAUUUACAAAAAAAGGAAGGCAAUAAACAUUAAAAAAUAAAAAAGUUUGUUAUAAUUAUACUCAAAUAACCAGGCUAAAAUUCAACCAGGUAAUGAGCUUUGAAAAGAACGACUAAAACACGUGAAAAAGAAUGAUGAUCAACGAUGUAAAUGCAAAGAAAAAAUAAAUAGAAAUAAAUUAAAAUAAAGCCUUAACGACUGCGCUUAUUCUCAAAAUAAUAGGCAAUGCUCGUAAAAUAGAUAUUUGGAGUAUGGUUGUCGGAGGUUUCAGUUUUAUAGAUACUCGGUUCCCUAACGCCAACAAUGCUAGUUAAUUUAUUUCCUUAGGUUUUCCGCAGUCAUGUUCUCGAUUGAUUUUAAAUAAAAUUACACAUGAAUAUGUGCCAGUAAUCUUUACAAUGAACCUUGUGAAGUCGUUCACAGGUAAAUUGAACUAAAACCAAGUCCGAUGAAAGCAAAAUUAUUGAUUUUCCUUAAUACAUAAUUAAUAAAUAUUAUCUGUAUCGAAAUUCGCUUCAACUCUUCUUAAGUAUAAGCU
rnacentral:lncRNA from 1 species